AACGAACGCUGGCGGCAUGCCUAACACAUGCAAGUCGAACGAGACCUUCGGGUCUAGUGGCGCACGGGUGCGUAACGCGUGGGAACCUGCCCUUAGGUUCGGAAUAACUCCCCGAAAGGGGUGCUAAUACCGGAUAAUGUCUUCGGACCAAAGAUUUAUCGCCCUUGGAUGGGCCCGCGUUGGAUUAGCUAGUUGGUAGGGUAAAAGCCUACCACGGCGACGAUCCAUAGCUGGUCUGAGAGGAUGAUCAGCCACACUGGGACUGAGACACGGCCCAGACUCCUACGGGAGGCAGCAGUGGGGAAUAUUGGACAAUGGGGGAAAGGCUGAUCCAGCAAUGCCGCGUGAGUGAUGAAGGCCGUAGGGUUGUAAAGCUCUUUUACCCGGGAUGAUAAUGACAGUACCGGGAGAAUAAGCUCCGGCUAACUCCGUG
rnacentral:rRNA from 1 species